rnacentral:rRNA from 1 species
AUGGUGUACCUGGACGCGGACAUCCAGGUGUACGUUCCACCUCGAGAUGGGCCGCUUCUACGCCGUCAAGGACUGCUUCGGCGAGAAGACGUGGAGCCACACGCCGCAAUACCAGAUCGGCAACUGCCAGCAGUGCCCGGACAGGGUGGCUUGGCCAGAGAGCGACCUCGGCGUGCCCCUGCCGCCCUCUACUUCAAUGCCGGCAUGUUCGUACACGAGCCCAGCAUGGCCACCGCCAAGGCCCUACUCGACAAGCUCGUCGUCACCGAUCCCACCCCCUUCGCCGAGCAGGAGUUUCUCAACAUGUUCAUCAGGGAUGUGUAUAGGCCCAUCCUGCGCGUGUACAACCUCGUGCUCGCCAUGCUGUGGAGGCACCCCGAGAACAUCCAGCUCCAGAAGGUCAAGGUCGUCCACUACUGCGCAGCGGGAUCCAAGCCUUGGAGGUACACUGGUGAGGAGGCCAACAUGGAUAGGAAAGACAUCAAGAUGCUAGUGAAGAAAUGGUGGGCCAUCUACAAUGACAAGAGCCUCAACUACAAGCCUGCCGCUAACGAGGACAACGACCCGUUCAGUGCUGCCCUCGCCUCAUCGGUCGCUUCAAUGUAG